AGACAACAAAUAUUUCGUCCUUUAUGUACAAGACGAACAAUGUGUGUCAUGGGAUUGGGAGGCACUAGGACUCUUGGCUACACGAAGGUGUAUGAGGAGGUUAGAUGUCCAACCAACACUUCUAGAAUGAAACAUGCUAAAACGAUGUGUCCAGUGAUGUUGGUUUUCCUUCUGCUCAAGUAAUGCUCAGGUGUUUUGGUAACAUCAUGUCUCACACUUCCAAGUUCUAAAUCAAAAACAAAAGGUUCAAGAAAAUGAUCUAGGAGUAGGACAAUCACAUUUACAAUGAGUAGCAAGAGUACUCAAACGAGUUUAGUUGAGGGAGAAUGAGAAAAAAUAAAAUAACUUUGAAUUUGGUAGUGUCUAAAAGCAAUUUUAACAUUUGCUUCCUUCGAUACUUUUUUAAUCUAUCACGGUAUAUGGCCAUGACCUUGCAUUGUCACUUGAAGACGUGCCUAUCCUUUGGGGUCCAAGACUUACACAUGUGUAACGAAAGUAGUACCUUGUAUAAGAACGUACAAUGUUUGGUAUUCUCUGGUUGAGUCAUUGAGAGUGACGAGUGAAAUCAUUUGUGAUAAUGGAACAUUGUUUUAGAUUGAAAUUUGACUUUGUAAAGAAAUUAGCACGAUAUAAGGUGUUGUGCAUGUAUGCUAAUAUGUGGUUUUGAUAUUUAUGUGACACAUUUAUG
rnacentral:lncRNA from 7 species